rnacentral:rRNA from 1 species
UGUCCUGGGCGACACACGUGCUACAAUGGCCGGUACAAAGAGACGCCAACCAGCGAUGGUGCGACAAAUCUCCAAAAGCCGGUCUCAGUUCAGAUCGAAGUCUGCAACUCGACUUCGUGAAGGCGGAAUUGCUAGUAAUCGCGAAUCAGCCAUGUCGCGGUGAAUUACCGGUUCCCGGGUUU